UGGUAUUAUACAUAAUCAUUACUUUUUAUUUGAACCGGUAGAGUAGUUGGUUGCAGUUAGAGGCCCUUACUCCCCCACCCGGCCUUGUGGUGGCCGCCUCCGCUGUUUGGGUUCAUGUAGACAUGAUGUGGUAACACCUGAGGAGCCAUAAGCCUGUCCUGGUGCUUCAUUCCGUGCGCACCGUGGUGCUUCAUCCCGUGCUCACCGUGGUGCUGCAUCCCGUGCUCACCGUGGUGCUGCAUCCCAUGCCCACCGAGGUAUGCAUCUUCAUGCCUCCCCUGCCAUCCAUUACCCAUAUUUCCCUGCCAAUCAUCGUUAAAAAAAUUACAAACGGUGAGAAACCAUACAA
rnacentral:lncRNA from 1 species